ACAAUUAAUAUGAAGAAAUGAUUUGUAGUGGGGAGGAGCGCAGCAUUACAAAGAGAAGAAAAAACGGAGCUGCUGAAAAAAGAGAAAAAAAACGCAGCAGUUGCUGCCCAUCUUCUUCUUCAAAAAUAACCUCAAAACAGCUUCAUCUUCUUCAUUCAAUAACCACGAAAACCAGCUGAAACUUCAUCCAUUAAAACACUCCAAGAUCAGCUCCCCACAGUUCCCGAAAUCACCCACAAAGCAGCUAAAAAACAGCAACAAACCCGCCAAAAAUCAGCGCAAAAAAGGCUGCCAAAACCGCCCAAAAUCCAACUGAAAAUCAGUCCGGAAUGGCUUCAUUCUCCACCUAAAAAUACAGCAAUAAAAUACCCAUCAAACCACUCUAAAAGCUGUUGAUUUCACCCAGCAAAACACGCACAAGGUUCUUGAAAUUGGAGGAGAUCGAGUGAAGGUGCCAGCGAGUUUCAGUCGAGGUUCAAGGUUCGCUGGGGAUUUUUCUUGCUAUUUUCAUUCCUUUGUACAGAAAGAGUUGAGAUGUCAGAUAAUAUAAUGGCUUAUUGAAGAGCUUGCAAGGAACUGUAUGGAAGUAUUCUCGGUUCAUCCAAGGGUCUUUAUCACGACCCUAAACCCAAACUCAGUCGUAGUUACGCGGUCAUGUUUAAAUACAUUGAGAAACGAAAAUAAUAUUUAAAUAUGAAAUUUUUAUAUUUCUAUA